CGUAAUCUCCCAAUCUUGCAUGUUCCUCCUGAAUGAGAGGUCCCAUACUACCUCCCUUCAAGCUCCUUGCGAAUCUAUUGGACCAUCAGUUCUUUCUGGUUUGAAACUCUGAAGACGUGGGGGAAGGAGACCUUGAGAGUAUCCUCUCCACACCACCUAUGAUUCCAAAAGCUGAUUCUCCUUCCAUCUCCCACCCUGUAAGUGAUGUUGCCACUGAAUGCUUCCCAAUUCUUCAUGAUACUCCUCCACAUGCCACACCCGAAAAGUGUUGUGAUCGCCUUGGUCCUCCAACCCCCUCCCGUUGAGUCGUACUUUUCUACUAUGACCUCCCUCCAUAGAGCAUGCUCUUAUGCCCCGAAUCUCCACAACCACUUCCCCAUUAAAGCUCUGUUAAAAACCCUAAGAUCUUUCACUCCAAGUCCACCCCACUUCUUUGGGGAAGUGACUGUCUGUCAAUUCACUAGAUGAAACUUUCUAGUUUCAUCCGCCGCAUCCCACAGAAAGUUCCUUUGAAGUCGCUCCAGUUUUUCUGUGAUGCUCACCGGUGCUUGCAACAGUGAUAAGUAAUAGGUGGGCAUAUNNNNNNNNNNNNNNNNNNNNNNNNNUCCUGAAUGAGAGGUCCCAUACUACCCCCUUCAAGCUCCUUGCGAAUCUGUUGGACCAUCAGUUCUUUCUGAUUUGAAACUCUGAAGACGUGGGGGAAGGAGACCUUGAGAGUAUCCUCUCCACACCACCUAUGAUUCCAAAAGCUGAUUCUCCUUCCAUCUCCCACCCUGUAAGUGAUGUUGCCACUGAAUGCUUCCCAAUUCUUCAUGAUACUCCUCCACAUGCCACACUCGAAAGGUGUUGUGAUCGCCUUGGUCCUCCAACCCCCUCCCGUUGAGUCGUACUUUUCUACUAUGACCUCCCUCCAUAGAGCAUGCUCUUCUACCCCGAAUCUCCACAACCACUUCCCCAUUAAAGCUCUGUUAAAAACCCUAAGAUCUUUCACUCCAAGUCCACCCCACUUCUUUGGGGAAGUGACUGUAUGUCAAUUCACUAGAUGAAACUUUCUAGUUCCAUCCGCCGCAUCCCACAGAAAGUUCCUUUGAAGUCGCUCCAGUUUUUCUGUGAUGCUCACCGGUGCUUGCAACAGUGAUAAGUAAUAGAUGGGCAUACUCGAUAAAGUGCUUUUGAUAAGCACUUCCUUACCUCCUUUUGACAAAUACCGUUUCUGCCACCCUGCUAAUCUCUUUUCAACCCGUUCGAUCACUGGAUUCCAAACCGUAGUAUCCUUAUAUGAAGCGCCCAGAGGGAGACCCAGGUAAGUAGUGGGAAGGGAACCCACCUUGCAUCUGAGAACACCAAACAAGGCAUCAAUAUUAGUAACCACACCUACCGGAAAAAUCUCACACUUGCCGAUGUUGAUUUUGAG
rnacentral:lncRNA from 1 species